AAGAAGAUCCCAUGCUGUGACCCUCUAGAGGAAGCACUUUCUGUUUGUUGUCUGAGAAAAAACAAAGUGCUUCCCUUUAGAGUGUUACCAUUUGGGAAAAGCAGUGUUGAAGUUG
rnacentral:pre_miRNA from 2 species